AGAGUUUGAUCCUGGCUCAGAGCGAACGCUGGCGGCGUGCCUAACACAUGCAAGUCGAACGUGAACGGGGGCAACCCUUAGUAAAGUGGCGUACGGGUGAGUAACGCGUAGGUAAUCUACCCUAGAAUCUGGAAUAACCUGCCGAAAGGCGGGCUAAUACUGGAUAGAGCGAGGAAUCCGUAAUAGGGUUUUUCGGGAAAGGGGGCUCGCAAGAGCUCUUGUUCUAGGAUGAGCCUGCGUCUCAUUAGCUAGUUGGUGGGGUAAAGGCCCACCAAGGCUUUGAUGGGUAGCUGGUCUGAGAGGAUGAUCAGCCACACUGGAACUGAAACACGGUCCAGACUCCUACGGGAGGCAGCAGUGGGGAAUCUUGCGCAAUGGACGAAAGUCUGACGCAGCCACGCCGCGUGAGUGAAGAAGGCCUUCGGG
rnacentral:rRNA from 1 species